AACCUACAUUUACAUUUUAAUCAAAUCAAAUGUCUUUCUGAGAUUGCGCAUGCGUAGUAUGAGUGAACGGGGUCUGCAGUGCGCAGGUGCGGACGUCUGGCGUCGAAUGGCGCCUUUUCUCAGUUUUCUGAUUCCUGAGGUGUGAAACCUUCCCCGCACCACGGUCAGGACCAAACAGAUGAAAUUUGUUCCGACGAAAAGUGGAAGUCUCGGUCCGGAUCAAACUGAACAAAGGAAAAAAUAACAGCACACAGGUUUGGAACGACAUGAGGGUGAGUAAAUAAUUACAUAUUUUUUCUCUGUGAACUUUUCCUUUAAUAAACGCAGAGAAAAGCGAGAGAUCUAUCAGAUAAGCAAGAGUGAAAGCCCGAUAUGAGGCAGGAGCUGUGAUAUAUGUGGGACCCAGGUGUUUGUGUCUGCAGUCUGAUAUGUGCGCUCGUCUCCCAGAGCUCUGCCGUACGUCUGCCAUCCAUGUGGGACGCAACGCCACAUCAAAGCCAAAACAUUAUUUGUUCACCAAUAUCAUGUCAGUUUUCCUCUUCUCUCUCUCUCUCAAACAGUCCUUACAUCAGAAUUGGCAAAAGCUCUGUCCGAACUCAGCCGAGCACUGGAAGAGCUUUCAGUCACAGCUUUCACACAUGAAUUCAGACCUCCGCAGAAAUUGGAUUAAAUGCACAAUUUCACCAGAUGGACCAGAGCUGCUUACAAAGUGCCAGUCACCUUUUCAGCUGAUGUCUCAUCUCUGUGGAGAACAGUGGGAUAUGUAGACAAACAGACCAUCACCGCCAAGGGCAAAGACUCAAAGUUUCCUUCAAAAGGCUCUUGAAAUACAGGGCAAUAGAGAGAAAAGCAUGUUCUGUGCUGGCAGGAUGGAGAAAUGAACAGGAUCCCAGGGAGCACAUGGAGAUUGGGUUCCAGAUCUGCAGUAGUCAGCUGUUGUUCUGUAGAUGGGACACGCACACAC